GACCUAGUCCUGAUCUUAAAGUCAAUUUUCACUUAACUUAUACCAUGCAAGUCUCCUGCACCCCGGUGAACAAACGCCCUCAAACUCCAUCUGGAGCUGAAUUGAGCCGGUAUCAGGCACAACUAUUUGCCUAAAACACCUAACCUAGCCACACCCCCAAGGGCCCUUGCAGCAGUGAUUAACAUUGAAUAUAAGCGCCAGCUUGAUUCAGUUAAAGUGAACAGGAGCUAGCAAAGCUAGUGCCAGUCGCUUCGGUUAAACUACGUCAGCCCAAAUUGACUCCUAUCGGCGUAAAGCGUGAUCAGACUAAUCUACCACUAGAGUUAAAACUAAACACCUUUAGUUUGCUAAUCCAUCAACGAAAGUCACUCUAUUUUUCCAUCUCGAUCUCACGAAAACUUGGACACAAACUGGGAUUAGACACCCCACUAUGCCUAGUCUUUAACUAUCAUUUACACUACUACCGCCAGG
rnacentral:rRNA from 1 species